UCCAUUGAUUUGUCUAAAGCAACAACCUGCGCCGCUUCGAACGCCACUUCUGUGUCUUGCAACCGUCUUCAUCGCCUUACGCAGGCAGCUAACGAGAUGGCAGAGAACAAAGUUGCAGAAAUGACAAAGACUUUUGACAAAGCUACGGAAAUGCUGAAUGCUUUAAAUCAAACACUACAAUUCGUUUACGAGUAUAAAGCGAUGCUUGCCGGAAUUUAAAUUUUUUUGAAAAUCAAACACCUAGAUCUUAGAUCUGAUGAAUCUAAACAAAGUAGAUAGAGAAGUUCAGCAGAUGAAAAUGAUGGACGAAGAAGUUAGAUAAAAUACCACAAAAUGCUGGCAUUAGAACCCGAGCCGAAAGACUUAGACAACGCUAGAAAACAAUUCAAAUUUGGAUGACCAACAUCAGCAGCAUCAAACUAUGCUCGAUUCCCAGCAUAUUUUUUUUUUGCCCAGCGAACAACUAGCUACAUUCAAAGGAAUAAUAUAAAUAAUUAUCAAAUAAAUUAGCUUAAUCAAGGAGGAGCAUAUAACAAGACAUCAGGAUUAUUUACUGUGCCAGUAAAUGGUUUAUAUUACUUCUUCUUUGCUGCAUUAAAAACAAAGCAGGGUCUUUCUGGAACGAGCCGUUUAACAGUUCAAAUCGCUCGAACAAGUCCAUCCUUUCGGAGAUUGGCAAAAGGUCAUAUAGACUCAGGUGAUUGGAAUGGAUGGUAUUCAGCGCAA